GCCGGCACAAAUGGCUCUGCAUGCCACCUGUGUCAUGUGUGCCAUAGGUUUGCCAUCACGGAUCUAGGCACUUAAGGAAUGUACUGUUUUCUCCCUUUUUCUGGCAGCUAAAAAGACCAAAGGAGUAUCUUUUUAGUUGACAAAGCCUUCCCAUUAAGUCAUUUACUCCAAAUUCAGACCCUCGGCAGCUGAUUCCUUAUUUAUGAUGGUCGCAGGGUCCCCGAAAUUUCUGGGGUUAAGCAACACGGUCCUGAAGUGAGUUUUGCCCCAUUUUACGACCUUUCUGGUCACAAACUGUUGAUAAAUGAAUCCCUGCAGCAGUUUAAGUUAGUCACUUAACAAUCUGGCUUCCCCCAAUGGCUUUGCUGGUUCAGAAAGGUUACAAAAGGGGAUCACAAGACACACACACCCCUUCCAGGACACUGUGACCGUCAUAAAUGUGAGUCAGUUGCCAAGCAUCUGAAUUUGGAUCCCCUGACCCUGGAGAGGCUUCAACGGUCGCAAGUGUGAAAACUGGUCACAUGCCAAACUUUGAAGGGCCACGAAAUGAACAGUUGCAAGUUGAGGAUUGUCGGUAGUUUCCCAGCCAAGAGGGUUUCCCUGGUGGUGCCCCAUCCACUCCCACAAGCAGUCUGCUUUUGGAGAGCAGCCCAAACACCUGAAGCCGUGUGAGAGUUGUGGGAGGGGGAGAGAGGGGGAUGCAGGACAGGAAAGUAGGAACCCCCAGUUGGGGAGGGGGCACGUUUGAAAAAGCUUGGCCGCUUUUGCCUGCCGUUGCAGCCCCCUGAUGGCCCUGCGAGAGAGGAAAGCAGCACAGCAUGUGAAAAGGGGAGACAAUCGCUCUGACGAUGCGACGGCCAGAGCCGUGGAGGAAAUGAUGGCCCGGAUCAAGAGUGGGGUGGCCCUGCGGCCAGUGAGGAGUGGGGCCGAAUCCUGCCCCCAGCCUCUGUCUGCAGUGGCGAACAAGCGAAGGAGCGUGGCCAUGGAGCUGCAAGACCUCCUGAGUACCCCAAGGAGGCCACAUAGACGAUCCAGCCGACGUAAGGGCAGCCAGAAGAAAUUCCUGGUAGACAACCAACUCGAGAAACUCCUGCAGAGACGACGGCGUAUAGUUGACCAAGGCCUGGCCCUGCCAAAACUACCUGCCCCAGCUGCAGAUGGGGGGCUCCUGCCUCGUGUCCCCAGGGCCAGGGAGGAAGACCAGGCAGCAGUGGGGGUCCGGAGGAACUCCCAACCCAACAAGUCAAACUUCUCGGAGACCAGCAAAGAUCUACCAGGUGAACCAGGCAAGCUGACUGCAGGAGCCCCCGUGCAUCCCAGACUGAAGAUUGCUGAGGUGGCUUGGCUUUGACCCUGUCAGAGUAUUUACAGCCUCCCUAACAUGAUAAUAUGUGAUGUCUUCAUGUUUACUCCGGCUUCCAGUGUGAUUUCCUCCUCCCAUUAUGCUGACGGAGGCCAUGUUGCCUGUUUUCUCUCACAAGCCACUGACCACGAUUAAAUCACGUCACCCAACCCCUCUGGCUCUGGCUGCAAGUUCUCACUGGGUUUCUCUUCUCUCUCCAGUCGCUCUGGCCCUUCUCUUUGCGCUGGGCCCAUAACCUGUCAGAGUGUUUACAGCGGGAGACAACCCAGGAGCAAAACACAGGACACUGCG
ensembl:lncRNA